CUACGGGUUGCUGCAGUGAGGAAUAUUGCACAAUGGGGGGAACCCUGAUGCAGCGACGCCGCGUGGAGGAUGACGCAUUUCGGUGUGUAAACUCCUUUUAUAUGUCAAGAAAAUGACGGUAGCAUAUGAAUAAGCACCGGCUAACUCCGUGCCAGCAGCCGCGGCAAUACGGAGGGUGCAAGCGUUACUCGGAAUCACUGGGCGUAAAGGACGCGUAGGCGGGUUGGAAAGUCAGGUGUGAAAUCCUACAGCUUAACUGUAGAACUGCACUUGAAACUUCUAAUCUAGAGUAUGGGAGGGGGAGAUGGAAUUAGUGGUGUAGGGGUAAAAUCCGUAGAUAUCACUAGGAAUACCUAAAGCGAAGGCGAUCUCCUGGAACAUUACUGACGCUAAGGCGUGAAAGCGUGGGGAGCAAACAGGAUUAGAUACCCGGGUAGUC
rnacentral:rRNA from 1 species